CCUACGGGAGGCAGCAGUGAGGAAUAUUGGUCAAUGGACGAGAGUCUGAACCAGCCAAGUAGCGUGAAGGAUGACUGCCCUAUGGGUUGUAAACUUCUUUUAUAAAGGAAUAAAACGAGGCACGUGUGCCUUUUUGCAUGUACUUUAUGAAUAAGGCUCGGCUAACUCCGUGCCAGCAGCCGCGGUAAUACGGAGGAUCCGAGCGUUCUCCGGAUUUAUUGGGUUUAAAGGGAGCGUAGAUGGGUUGUUAAGUCAGUUGUGAAAGUUUGCGGCUCAACCGUAAAAUUGCAAUUGAUACUGGCAGUCGUGAGUACAGUUGAGGUAGGCGGAAUUCGUGGUGUAGCGGUGAAAUGCUUAGAUAGCACGAAGAACCCCGAUUGCGAAGGCAGCUUACUAAACUGUGACUGACAUUGAUGCUCGAAAGUGGGGGUAUCAAACAGGAUUAGAUACCCUGGUAGUC
rnacentral:rRNA from 1 species